UACGUAGGAUCCAAGCGUUGUCCGGAUUUACUGGGUGUAAAGGGUGCGCAGGCGGACUUAUAAGUCAGGGGUGAAAUCUCACUGCUCAACAGUGAAACUGCCUUUGAUACUGUAGGUCUUGAAUUAGGGAGAGAUUCGUGGAAUUCCGAGUGUAGCAGUGAAAUGUGUAGAUAUUCGGAAGAACACCAGAGGCGAAGGCAGCGAAUUGGCCCUAUAUUGACGCUCCAGGCACGAAAGCAUGGGGAUCAAACAGG
rnacentral:rRNA from 1 species